rnacentral:misc_RNA from 1 species
GAAAUGCGAUAAGUAAUGUGAAUUGCAAAAUUCAGUGAAUCAUCGAAUCUUUGAACGCACAUUGCGCCCGCCAGUAUUCUGGCGGGCAUGCCUGUCCGAGCGUCAUUUCAACCAUCAAGCCCCCGGGCUUGUGUUGGGGACCUGCGGCUGCCCGCAGGCCCUGAAAACCAGUGGCGGGCUCGCUGUCACACCGAGCGUAGUAGCAAUCACCUCGCUCAGGGCGUGCUGCGGGUUCCGGCCGUUAAACAGCCUUACAAAACCCAAGGUUGACCUCGGAUUAGGUAGGAAGACCCGCUGAACUUAAGC